GAUGAACGCUAGCGGCAGGCUUAAUACAUGCAAGUCGAGGGGCAGCGGGAGUAGCAAUACUUGCCGGCGACCGGCGCACGGGUGCGUAACACGUAUGUAAUCUGCCCAUCACAGGAGGAUAGCCCGGAGAAAUUCGGAUUAAUACUCCAUAAUAGAAGAUAAAGCAUUUUAUUUUCUUGAAAGUUCCGACGGUGAUGGAUGAACAUGCGACUGAUUAGUUUGUUGGUGAGGUAACGGCUCACCAAGACUACGAUCAGUAGGGGUACUGAGAGGUUAAACCCCCACACUGGUACUGAGACACGGACCAGACUCCUACGGGAGGCAGCAGUAAGGAAUAUUGGACAAUGGCCGCAAGGCUGAUCCAGCCAUGCCGCGUGCAGGAAGACGGACCUAUGGUUU
rnacentral:rRNA from 1 species